AUGUACAUUCCUACAACAUAGUGUUAAUGCAGUAUAUCCCUUUAUAACUUCAUAGUUAAGCGUGCUCGGGCUAGAGUAGUACUAGGAUGGGUGACUGCCCGAGAAGUCCUAGUAUUUUACAUG
rfam:Picea glauca, whole genome shotgun sequence.